AACAAAAUGAAAAACAGUGCCAUUGAGGAGCAUCGGCAUCACACCCCCAUGAGCAGCUGUAGUUCUCAGCCCUGCAUUCCCAUUCUUGUGUGUCUCUGCUUUGGAAUGGUUACAGGCAGUGCCAGCAACACCAGGGAAAGGUAACCUGAAAUGAUGAAGUCCAAUUGACUGGGAGCAUCCAGGAGCUGGAACAUACUCUCACAUAAAAUCGCUGGGUGUUGAUAAGUUUGGUGAGGCACUGGAACAGGUUGCCCAGAGAAGCUGUGAAUGCCCCAUUGCUGGAAGUGUUCAAGGGAUUACUGCAGCAGUUAGCUCUACCCAAGACUUUCUGCCUGGAUCUGGGGGAAGAAUUAAGGUGUGAAAAAGGGGAAAGAUUUCAGGGUUGCUGAUUUCUAUGCUAGACUGGUGAACUAUGGAUAACAAAUGAGACAGGUGGAACUUCAAAAGAAGCUAGCCCUGCGACCUGAUGACCUGUCGUUCUGUACUUGCCAAGAAAGAAGAAGUGGAACCUGCAGACCACUGGAACGGAAGGAACCUGAGGAUAUCGACAGUGAUAGAUAUCGACAGUGAUAGACAGUGAUAGAUUUUGUUUAGUUGCAUAAUAUCUGUUAGAACCCUAUAUAAUGACUAGUUAUACUGCUGUAUGAUUGUCACUCUCUGAGGAGGUGACCCAACGCUGCUGUUCCUGUGAAUCUUCUACAAUAAAUACUGCUCAGAGUAA